GCGCGAAAACUAUACAAUGCUGGCAACAGCGAUAAGGGAACCUCGAGUGCCAGGUUACAAAUCUGGCUGUCGAGAUGCCUAAAAAGCAUUUCAUAGCAAGGGCCGGGCAAGACCGGUGCCAGCCGCCGCGGUAACACCGGCGGCUCGAGUGGUAACCGUUAUUAUUGGGUCUAAAGGGUCUGUAGCCGGCCGGAUAAGUCUCUUGAGAAAUCUGGCAGCUUAACUGUCAGGCUUUCAGGAGAUACUGUCUGGCACGAGGCCGGGAGAGGUGAGAGGUACUUCAGGGGUAAGGGUGAAAUGUUGUAAACCUUGAAGGACCACCAGUGGCGAAGGCGUCUCACCAGAACGGACAUGGCGGCAAGGGACGAAAGCUAGGGGCACGAACC
rnacentral:rRNA from 1 species